AACGAACGCUGGCGGCAUGCCUAACACAUGCAAGUCGAACGAGACCUUCGGGUCUAGUGGCGCACGGGUGCGUAACGCGUGGGAACCUGCCCUUAGGUUCGGAAUAACUCCCCGAAAGGGGUGCUAAUACCGGAUAAUGUCUUCGGACCAAAGAUUUAUCGCCUUUGGAUGGGCCCGCGUUGGAUUAGCUAGUUGGUAGGGUAAAAGCCUACCAAGGCGACGAUCCAUAGCUGGUCUGAGAGGAUGAUCAGCCACACUGGGACUGAGACACGGCCCAGACUCCUACGGGAGGCAGCAGUGGGGAAUAUUGAACAAUGGGCGAAAGCCUGAUCCAGCAAUGCCGCGUGAGUGAUGAAGGCCUUAGGUUGUAAAGCUCUUUUACCCGGGAUGAUAAUGACAGUACCGGGAGAAUAAGCUCCGGCUAACUCCGUG
rnacentral:rRNA from 1 species